GUACACACCGCCUGUCGCUGCUACCGAUUGGAUGAUCCGGUGAAAUCCUCGGAUUGAUGUAAUUAUCUAACAGCAAUGUUAGAUGUUAUAUUGAGAAGUUGAUUAAACCUUAUCAUCUAGAGGAAGCAAAAGUCGUAACAAGGUAGCCGUAGGUGAACCUGCAGAAGGAUCA
rnacentral:rRNA from 1 species